UAAUUGGCAAUCUUCCUGCCUCAGCUUCCCAGAGCACUGGGAUUACAGCCGUGCACCACUGCACCCAGUGCAGGGACAAUUCUGAAGAACUUCAGCAGAGCAGACAGGGAGCCCCGUGCAGGGCAGACUCAUCCACGGGGACACACCGGGCAGGCCCCUUGAGAAGAGGCUGGAAGGAUGACUCUGCCAACCUCCACGUAUGGAUCUGACCUGGAUCCACUCGCGCAGAAGCAAUGCACAUGCGUGACAGCCCAGAGCCGAGCGGGGUGUGCUGAGGGAACGCGGUGUCCUCGCGCCACGCGGGGCCUCUCCUGGGAGACACAGAGGCGGCGGAGGCUGAGCUCCUCCAGGGCGCCGGUGCCUCGCUCCCCGGCUGCUCAGUGGGACCAGAGCUGGAGAACGCAUCCUCUGGGUCCCUGGUCAUCAGCCCCAGAGAGGGACGACAGAGCCGCCCACACCCAGUCACCGCCGGCUUCUCCACAGCCGGCUGCAAACGCGGCAGCUCCCACCCCAGGAUCUCACUGUGGAGCCCAGGCUGACCUUAAGCUCA